UACGGAGGGUGCAAGCGUUGUUCGGAUUUACUGGGCGUAAAGCGCGCGCAGGUGGGUGAACAAGUCGGAAGUGAAAUCCCAGGGCUCAACCCUGGGGCUGCUCCCGAAACUGUACGCCUAGGGACUGGUAGAGGCUGGUAGAAUUCCCGGUGUAGCGGUGGAAUGCGUAGAGAUCGGGAAGAAUACCCGUGGCGAAGGCGGCCAGCUGGGCCAGGUCCGACACUGAGGCGCGAAAGCGUGGGGAGCAAACAGG
rnacentral:rRNA from 1 species